AUCUAGAAAGCUGACUACAGGACAAAGACUGCCAGGGCAGGAGGAGAAGGCCUAAGAACAAAGUAAGGAGGUUGCACAAUGAUGAUGGAUGCUUUGGUGGCAGGUGUGGUGUAGUAACAACAGCUGAAGAAGAUCCUGCCCAUCCGAAAACAAACUACAAGCAUCACAAUAGAAAGAUGAUAUCUUCUUGUUCUUAGAUUCCCCGGUGGUGUACACAGUGCUGGACUCUUUAAAGAGGAUUUUCAGAAGAUCUCUAAAAAUGGAAUCUAACUUAGCAGCCCAAUAUGUCAACUUCCCAAAGGAGGAACUUGAAACUGCGGCCACCUGCAUCCCGGCCACCUGCAUCCCGGCCACCUGCAUCCCAGGAGCUGGUUCUACCAGGGAGCUGGUUCUACCAGGGAGCUGGUUCUACUGGGGUUGCACUACUCCAGAUAAGCAGCCAUGAAAGAAAAAUAAGCUCCAAGAGAGAACAACUUCUUUGAAAAGCAACUUCACACCACCUCCCACCAAGGCCAGACCCAGUCCUAUAAAAGAUUACCCUCAUGCCCUGAGGGACAAGAUUUCUCCAACCCCUGCAGGGGUGGGUGAACUUCGCUGGGGCGCAAUAAACUUUUUGCC